GUCGGGGGUUACCCCCCUCGGUGCCGCAGCUAACGCAUUAAGUACUCCGCCUGGGAAGUACACUCGCACGAGUGAAACUCCACGGAAUUGCCGGGCAACCGCAUAAGUAACGGAGCAUGUGGAGUAAUACGAAGCAACGAGAAGAUCCUUACCUAAUCUUGUCAUCCCAAUGACAUGUCCUUAAUCGGAGAAUUCCCUUCGGGGACAUUGGUGUCGGGUAGUGCAUUGAUAUCGUCAGCUCGUGUCGUGA
rnacentral:rRNA from 1 species